GAACCUUUUGUGCUGUGGCAACCAGCCCAUUUAUCCGAACCUUGAAUUCUUCAUAAUCUCUCUUCAUAGCACGACGUUCCCUCACAAACGAUGGCAGUACUUUAUUUUUCAGAUAAUCAACCUUCAGAGAAAAAUACCACUCGGGCGCUCGAGGCUCUAUGUUGAACUUUUUGCAGAAUGGGACCCAUUUCCUUGCGAACUCAGAUGUUUCAGAGAGAGCCUCAAAAGUAAGCAUGGCAGCACCAUCAUCAGAGACAUAG
rnacentral:misc_RNA from 1 species